UACAGAGGGUGCAAGCGUUGUUCGGAUUCACUGGGCGUAAAGGGUGCGUAGGCGGUCAGGUAAGUCUGAUGUGAAAUCUCUGGGCUUAACCCAGAAAUGGCAUUGGAUACUAUUUGGCUUGAGAGUUGGAGGGGGGACUGGAAUUCUUGGUGUAGCAGUGAAAUGCGUAGAUAUCAAGAGGAACACCAGUGGCGAAGGCGAGUCCCUGGACAACUUCUGACGCUGAGGCACGAAAGCUAGGGGAGCAAACAGG
rnacentral:rRNA from 1 species